UUAAGACUCUCUUCGGAGAGUGCAUAAAGUGGCGCACGGGUUGAGUAACACGUAAGUAAUCUACCUUCGAGUGGGGAAUAACGUUCGGAGACGGACGCUAAUACCGCAUAAUGCAGCGGCAUCGCGAGAUGACAGUUGUUAAAGAUUUAUCGCUUGAAGAGGAGCUUGCGGCAGAUUAGCUAGUUGGUAAGGUAACGGCUUACCAAGGCGACGAUCUGUAUCCGGUCUAAGAGGACGGUCGGACACACUGACACUGAAUAACGGGUCAGACUCCUACGGGAGGCAGCAGUCGGGAAUUUUGGGCAAUGGGCGAAAGCCUGACCCAGCAACGCCGCGUGAAGGAUGAAGUUUUUCGGAAUGUAAACUUCGUAAGAAUAGGAAGAAUAAAUGACGGUACUAUUUGUAAGGUCCGGCUAACUACGUGCCAGCAGCCGCGGUAAUACGUAGGGACCAAGCGUUGUUCGGAUUUACUGGGCGUAAAGGGCGCGUAGGCGGCAAUUCAAGUCAGCUGUGAAAUCUCCGGGCUUAACUCGGAACGGUCAGCUGAUACUGCUUUGCUAGAGUGCAGAAGGGGCAAUCGGAAUUCUUGGUGUAGCGGUGAAAUGCGUAGAUAUCAAGAGGAACACCUGAGGUGAAGAUGGGUUGCUGGGCUGACACUGACGCUGAGGCGCGAAAGCUAGGGUAGCAAACGGGAUUAGAUACCCCGGUAGUCCUAGCCCUAAACGAUGAAUACUUGGUGUCUGGAGUUUUUAUCCUCCGGGUGCCGUCGCUAACGUUUUAAGUAUUCCGCCUGGGGAGUACGCACGCAAGUGUGAAACUCAAAGGAACUG
rnacentral:rRNA from 1 species